rnacentral:rRNA from 1 species
GAUGAACGCUGGCGGCGUGCCUAAUACAUGCAAGUCGAGCGAACAGAUGAGGAGCUUGCUCCUCUGACGUUAGCGGCGGACGGGUGAGUAACACGUGGAUAACCUACCUAUAAGACUGGAAUAACUUCGGGAAACCGGAGCUAAUACCGGAUAAUAUAUUGAACCGCAUGAUUCAAUAGUGAAAGACGGUUUUGCUGUCACUUAUAGAUGGAUCCGCGCCGCAUUAGCUAGUUGGUAAGGUAACGGCUUACCAAGGCAACGAUGCGUAGCCGACCUGAGAGGGUGAUCGGCCACACUGGAACUGAGACACGGUCCAGACUCCUACGGGAGGCAGCAGUAGGGAAUCUUCCGCAAAGGGCGAAAGCCUGACGGAGCAACGCCGCGUGAGUGAUGAAGGUCUUCGGAUCGUAAAACUCUGUUAUUAGGGAAGAACAAAUGUGUAAGUAACUAUGCACGUCUUGACGGUACCUAAUCAGAAAGCCACGGCUAACUACGUG